UACGUAGGGGGCAAGCGUUGUCCGGAUUCAUUGGGCGUAAAGAGCUCGUAGGCGGCUUGUCACGUCGGAUGUGAAAGCCCGGGGCUUAACUCCGGGUCUGCAUUCGAUACGGGCUGGCUAGAGUGUGGUAGGGGAGAUCGGAAUUCCUGGUGUAGCGGUGAAAUGCGCAGAUAUCAGGAGGAACACCGGUGGCGAAGGCGGAUCUCUGGGCCAUUACUGACGCUGAGGAGCGAAAGCGUGGGGAGCGAACAGG
rnacentral:rRNA from 1 species